rnacentral:lncRNA from 1 species
CUCUGCUGGACUUGCUUCAGAGGGCCGAUGACUGUAUCAGAGAUAAAUUUGAUCUGACCUUCUUCACUCAGACUCUUCCUCAGCUGGUGGAGAAUGUGUACAGCUCUGCUCAUAUAACACGAAGACGCAGAAGUGCACUUGAAACAGAGCAGGUAGGCCAGCCAGCACUAUUCCAGCAAGUGGGCCCUCUGGUGGACGACUGGGAGAGCUAUCUUACAGGCAUUGCUGAAGAUCUGGAUCAACACAAAGAACUAAAGAACUCACAGGAACUGUCUCAGGAGCAACAACUCUUCACACCGGAUGAGGACAGUGAAAAAGCACCUCUUCAGCAGCUUGUCACGUCACUGCUCUCCUCCAUUGCUGCCCUGCGUUCCAAGUUAGACUCACUGCGCAUUCCUGUCAUACCAGAAUUGGACCACCAACUGUUUCAAAGGGAUUUCAGCAUUCCCACCACUGGAAAACAACAACAGGAUAACAGUGCCAAAUCUAGGGAGUCUGUAUUGUCAGCUGACAUUUGGACUGCUGUGAUAUAUAAAGCUCUGAGAGGAAGCGGCACAGGAACUGUCACAGGACGUCGGGUGAUGACAGCAGGAUCUCAGGAUCAGAUGGAUACAACAUCCAGAUCUGUGGAAACUUCCACCCAACCACUGAAACUCAAGACCCUGGAACCUUCUGACUCUGUCCCUGCCCAGAUUCUCCUGCUUCAACAACCACUCUUCAAAAAGCUCCUGUGGAGGAGAAAGAGAGAUCUACACAAGCG